GGGCUGCGGGGUGGCGCGUGCUUGGGGUCCGCUCUCGGGUCCCCCUCACAAGCUUCCUUUUACAGGACUUUGUUCCUCGCCGUGGAGUGCAUGCCCUUCUGGAAGGGUAGCCGGAAGCGGCGAUACGAGGCCCACCUACCAGAGCGUAGGGGGUCUUGAACGGUUCCCACACGGUCACCCGGCACCCUC
rnacentral:other from 1 species